rnacentral:lncRNA from 1 species
CCACCGUCCUUAUUUUUUUUAACCUCGCCAAUCCAACCUUAAUCAAGGGCGUGAGGGCGUGAGAAUAUUCAGCCUGCAACGAGGCACCUGGAAACCCCCUCGAAACGACGCUUAUCUCCAGUACUAUUUCCCGAACGACCUGGACGACCUGAAAGACUUCACUAUCUGCUACAGGUUCAGGUUGCAGAACUUCGUGGAGACAAACGUGCACUUCUCAUACGCGGUCAGUGAGUCAGACUCCAACACCUUCAUGCUAUAUAACCAAGAAACAGUCCUAUUAAGCUUCAUACGCGGAAAGCUGAGUCACGUAGGACCAGAUAAAAUCUUCGAAUUAUAUCCUGAAUCUUGGAACCAUUUAUGUCACGUGGUUGAAGGAUCUCUUUACACCAUCUACC